AGGAGCACGAUUGGAAAUCGUGUAAACGUCAAAAGCGUUUCGAGGGUUCGAAUCCCUUGCUCUCCGCCA
rnacentral:tRNA from 1 species